UUAAGCGACUAAGCGUACACGGUGGAUGCCCUGGCAGUCAGAGGCGAUGAAGGACGUGCUAAUCUGCGAUAAGCGUCGGUGAGGUGAUAUGAACCGUUAUAACCGGCGAUUUCCGAAUGGGGAAACCCAGUGUGUUUCGACACACUAUCAUUAACUGAAUCCAUAGGUUAAUGAGGCGAACCGGGGGAACUGAAACAUCUAAGUACCCCGAGGAAAAGAAAUCAACCGAGAUUCCCCCAGUAGCGGCGAGCGAACGGGGAGGAGCCCAGAGCCUGAAUCAGUGUGUGUGUUAGUGGAAGCGUCUGGAAAGGCGCGCGAUACAGGGUGACAGCCCCGUACACAAAAUGCACAUAUUGUGAGCUCGAUGAGUAGGGCGGGACACGUGGUAUCCUGUCUGAAUAUGGGGGGACCAUCCUCCAAGGCUAAAUACUCCUGACUGACCGAUAGUGAACCAGUACCGUGAGGGAAAGGCGAAAAGAACCCCGGCGAGGGGAGUGAAAAAGAACCUGAAACCGUGUACGUACAAGCAGUGGGAGCCUCUUAAUGGGGUGACUGCGUACCUUUUGUAUAAUGGGUCAGCGACUUAUAUUCUGUAGCAAGGUUAACCGAAUAGGGGAGCCGAAGGGAAACCGAGUCUUAACUGGGCGUUAAGUUGCAGGGUAUAGACCCGAAACCCGGUGAUCUAGCCAUGGGCAGGUUGAAGGUUGGGUAACACUAACUGGAGGACCGAACCGACUAAUGUUGAAAAAUUAGCGGAUGACUUGUGGCUGGGGGUGAAAGGCCAAUCAAACCGGGAGAUAGCUGGUUCUCCCCGAAAGCUAUUUAGGUAGCGCCUCGUGAAUUCAUCUCCGGGGGUAGAGCACUGUUUCGGCAAGGGGGUCAUCCCGACUUACCAACCCGAUGCAAACUGCGAAUACCGGAGAAUGUUAUCACGGGAGACACACGGCGGGUGCUAACGUCCGUCGUGAAGAGGGAAACAACCCAGACCGCCAGCUAAGGUCCCAAAGUCAUGGUUAAGUGGGAAACGAUGUGGGAAGGCCCAGACAGCCAGGAUGUUGGCUUAGAAGCAGCCAUCAUUUAAAGAAAGCGUAAUAGCUCACUGGUCGAGUCGGCCUGCGCGGAAGAUGUAACGGGGCUAAACCAUGCACCGAAGCUGCGGCAGCGACACUAUGUGUUGUUGGGUAGGGGAGCGUUCUGUAAGCCUGUGAAGGUGGCCUGUGAGGGUUGCUGGAGGUAUCAGAAGUGCGAAUGCUGACAUAAGUAACGAUAAAGCGGGUGAAAAGCCCGCUCGCCGGAAGACCAAGGGUUCCUGUCCAACGUUAAUCGGGGCAGGGUGAGUCGACCCCUAAGGCGAGGCCGAAAGGCGUAGUCGAUGGGAAACAGGUUAAUAUUCCUGUACUUGGUGUUACUGCGAAGGGGGGACGGAGAAGGCUAUGUUGGCCGGGCGACGGUUGUCCCGGUUUAAGCGUGUAGGCUGGUUUUCCAGGCAAAUCCGGAAAAUCAAGGCUGAGGCGUGAUGACGAGGCACUACGGUGCUGAAGCGACAAAUGCCCUGCUUCCAGGAAAAGCCUCUAAGCAUCAGGUAACAUCAAAUCGUACCCCAAACCGACACAGGUGGUCAGGUAGAGAAUACCAAGGCGCUUGAGAGAACUCGGGUGAAGGAACUAGGCAAAAUGGUGCCGUAACUUCGGGAGAAGGCACGCUGAUAUGUAGGUGAAGCGACUUGCUCGUGGAGCUGAAAUCAGUCGAAGAUACCAGCUGGCUGCAACUGUUUAUUAAAAACACAGCACUGUGCAAACACGAAAGUGGACGUAUACGGUGUGACGCCUGCCCGGUGCCGGAAGGUUAAUUGAUGGGGUUAGCGGUAACGCGAAGCUCUUGAUCGAAGCCCCGGUAAACGGCGGCCGUAACUAUAACGGUCCUAAGGUAGCGAAAUUCCUUGUCGGGUAAGUUCCGACCUGCACGAAUGGCGUAAUGAUGGCCAGGCUGUCUCCACCCGAGACUCAGUGAAAUUGAACUCGCUGUGAAGAUGCAGUGUACCCGCGGCAAGACGGAAAGACCCCGUGAACCUUUACUAUAGCUUGACACUGAACAUUGAGCCUUGAUGUGUAGGAUAGGUGGGAGGCUUUGAAGUGUGGACGCCAGUCUGCAUGGAGCCGACCUUGAAAUACCACCCUUUAAUGUUUGAUGUUCUAACGUGGGCCCCUUACCGGGGUUGCGGACAGUGUCUGGUGGGUAGUUUGACUGGGGCGGUCUCCUCCUAAAGAGUAACGGAGGAGCACGAAGGUUGGCUAAUCCUGGUCGGACAUCAGGAGGUUAGUGCAAUGGCAUAAGCCAGCUUGACUGCGAGCGUGACGGCGCGAGCAGGUGCGAAAGCAGGUCAUAGUGAUCCGGUGGUUCUGAAUGGAAGGGCCAUCGCUCAACGGAUAAAAGGUACUCCGGGGAUAACAGGCUGAUACCGCCCAAGAGUUCAUAUCGACGGCGGUGUUUGGCACCUCGAUGUCGGCUCAUCACAUCCUGGGGCUGAAGUAGGUCCCAAGGGUAUGGCUGUUCGCCAUUUAAAGUGGUACGCGAGCUGGGUUUAGAACGUCGUGAGACAGUUCGGUCCCUAUCUGCCGUGGGCGCUGGAGAACUGAGGGGGGCUGCUCCUAGUACGAGAGGACCGGAGUGGACGCAUCACUGGUGUUCGGGUUGUCAUGCCAAUGGCACUGCCCGGUAGCUAAAUGCGGAAGAGAUAAGUGCUGAAAGCAUCUAAGCACGAAACUUGCCCCGAGAUGAGUUCUCCCUGACUCCUUGAGAGUCCUGAAGGAACGUUGAAGACGACGACGUUGAUAGGCCGGGUGUGUAAGCGCAGCGAUGCGUUGAGCUAACCGGUACUAAUGAACCGUGAGGCUUAACCUU
rnacentral:rRNA from 1 species